rnacentral:rRNA from 1 species
GAUGAACGCUAGCUACAGGCUUAACACAUGCAAGUCGCGGGGAAACGACAUCGAAAGCUUGCUUUUGAUGGGCGUCGACCGGCGCACGGGUGAGUAACGCGUAUCCAACCUGCCCACCACUUGGGGAUAACCUUGCGAAAGUAAGACUAAUACCCGAUGACGUCUCUAGAAGACAUCUGAAAGAGAUUAAAGAUUUAUCGGUGAUGGAUGGGGAUGCGUCUGAUUAGCUUGUUGGCGGGGUAACGGCCCACCAAGGCGACGAUCAGUAGGGGUUCUGAGAGGAAGGUCCCCCACAUUGGAACUGAGACACGGUCCAAACUCCUACGGGAGGCAGCAGUGAGGAAUAUUGGUCAAUGGACGAGAGUCUGAACCAGCCAAGUAGCGUGCAGGAUGACGGCCCUAUGGGUUGUAAACUGCUUUUAUAAGGGAAUAAAGUGAGUCUCGUGAGACUUUUUGCAUGUACCUUAUGAAUAAGGACCGGCUAAUUCCGUGCCAGCCGCCGCGGUAA